AAUUGACGAAAAUAUGUGGCUAAACCAA
rnacentral:piRNA from 1 species